rnacentral:lncRNA from 1 species
ACACCCUAUUGAUAGAACAUUAAGGCAAAGUAAGGACUUUAGGAGAAACUAACAAAGUGAAUUUGUAAACAUGAGAUAGAUCUCCAAAAGAAUGAUUCCUUAAAAAUCGCCAAGGAUUCAAAAUAAGAGGAAUCCCUAGAGGAUAAGAUAUAGCAUAAUACAAAUUAAGCUCGAUCUACCUCGAAUAUAUAACAAUAAGAUGGCCUAAGAGCACUAAACAAAUGAUGAUAACCAGGAUAAAGAGAUUGUCUUGUAACUGAUCAAGUCUCAUGAUGUGCAUGUUGAUCAGUGUUCGCUUAACUACCUAAGAAUAGAUAUAAGUAAAUUAAGAAUAGUAAGAACUUGUGAUCGACCCU